rnacentral:lncRNA from 1 species
GCUCCAGAACCUGGACUGCAGCUAUGGGAAAAACCAUCCUGAACCACACAGACAGGUGAGAUACCUAAGGAUGUUGGAGCAACAAGAUAGAAAGAACCGGGGCUCAGAACAAUGUUGCAGAGGAGAUCCAACAC